GCUGCACUAUGCAAGCAAUCAGAAACAGAGGUUUAUUAAUCGGUUCAGUAACGUCAGUCGUAACUUAACGUGACCAGUGAUCAGAUAAAAGAUUUCUCAACAGUUCAACGUUGCUAAAUAGCAGCUGAUAGUGAUGAGCAGCACAGCAGCGACUGUUCCCGUGGAAACACCAAACUUGAGCCAGAAAUCAAGAGUCACACAAGCGCUGACUUUUUGUGCUGGUAAUGACUCUCCUCCGUAACACUGCAACGGCUGCUGCCACACCACCAGACAGCUGCAGCCGCUAUUCCGUACCGAUGAGUGAGUCACCAAUGAGGAAAGGUUGGGAGGACACCACGCUCUGGCUCCUGAUGUCCGAGGGGACCACGGUGGACUGACAGAUGUAACCUCUGACCUCUCUCCCACUCUCUGUUACAUUGUCCACACAGGUGGCCAGCACUCUGCCCUACCCAGAUUAAAGCUGUGGAAGUAUCUCAGGCCUUUGCUGGUGAAGCGGGGGCUGCUGUGGAAGCCGGAGACGUUGGCCAGAGGAGAGAAGUCAUAGUGCAGCGGCGCUCCCCCUGCUGUCUGCACGUCCAACACACAGUCACUCAGGCAAGCUGUGUGGGCCUGGAGGAUGGAGAGAUAGCCACCUUUCCCACAGGCUGAUCGGCCCUGACGAAGGUGUUUGGCGGGCAGCUCCUACACACUCCUGUCCUGUUGACCAUGUAGUGUCCCGCUGGGCAGGGAACACAGGCGG